GACGAACGCUGGCGGCGUGCUUAACACAUGCAAGUCGAACGAAGUGGCGAACGGGUGAGUAACGCGUAAUCAAUCAGCCCUUCAGAGGGGGAGAACAGGUGGAAACGACUGCUAAUAACGCAGACUGAAGGAGGGAAUUGCGUCUGAUUAGCUAGUUGGAGGGGUAACGGCGCAACAAGGCGAUGAUCAGUAGCCGGUCUGAGAGGAUGAACGGCGACAUUGGGCCUGAUACACGGCCCAGACUCCUACGGGAGGCAGCCGUGGGGACUAUUGCACAAUGGGCGCAAGCCUGAUGCAGCCAUUCCGCGUGUAUGAAGAAGGCCCUAGGGUUGUAAAGUACUUUCAGUCGUGAGCGUUACCGACAGAAGAAGCACCGGCUAACUCCGUGCCAGCCGCCGCGGUAAUUC
rnacentral:rRNA from 1 species